CCGAGACCAAGCCGCCGUCCUCGGGCCGCCCCCUCGACAUCCAGUUGUUGUCCUUGCCAAUCCCCAUCCCUGCUGCUGCCGGGGCCCCAUCUCCCGGCUCCCGCUGAUGCCGCACCUGCUGUUGCCGGGGCUCCAUCUUUGGGCCCUUCGAGCUGCGCCCCUCUUGAAGCCAGCCAUCGCCGUGCCCUGAGUGUUAUACAGGUGGAUAGUUGUUCAACAAAAUGAUAUCUGAACUUCAAGCUGGUACCAUAAAAUUUUUUACUUCGGUGUUCUGAAGUUUAUCGAUAAAGUGUAAUAUAUUUGACCAUUAGCGACACCCUUCACCAUAAGGCAUAGAUGUACCAAUGAUGUUAUUUCUUGAAGCCAAUUUGAAAUUUUGUAUCUCUUGUGAGUAGCAAGUAGACUGCUCAGGUUGAUCUUAUUUGUAUAUCUUGGAAUUGUUUCCUGGUUGAUAUAUUGGAAGAGCAUUGUUAGUCCAGAAUUAAUCAGUAUAAUUCAGUUUGGGUCAGUUCAGGACAUAUUAAGUAUGCUUUAGAACAAAUAAUCAAAAUUAUCUGUUACGAAGAACAUAUUAGGCUUGUGUUUUCAAUCUCCCUGUACUUCUAUGGUUCCAAAUCUUCUCCUAUAGUUUUAUUGUCUUAACUGCUUGUAGAACUGUACUGCAAGUUAGUUUAUUAUUGAAGAAAAAAUCAUUUAUUAUGAUGUUGUCAGCUUGUGCUUAAUUUUGUGAUUGCUAAAGGCAAGGAAAAGAGAUGGUGCAGAAGGAGCUUCAGCAGGCAUGAUGGUUCGUUAACCACAAUGUCGCAAGGCCAUCCCCAUGGCUUGGUAACACUAUUUCAGCCGGGAACCACGACCACCAGCAUGCAGCAUGAGCAAUGGGUAGAGAACGGAUGACUACCUCACUGGGAAACAUGGUCGCACACGUGCAGCAGAAAACGAAUGGUGCAUGGAAAGGCCACCUCACUGGAACUAGGGCCACGACUUGUAGUGGGCAACUACUAGGUACAUUUUUGUUUCAAUAGUAAUUAGCUCACACGCUAUUGCAUAGCAGUUUCUAUAAUGUAAGUUUGCAAGGUUAGCUAGCCUAUGUGUUAACACUAAAUUGCUUGUAUAUAUAUGUGUCAUGGUUUCCUUUUCUAUCCAUGGUUAUGUAGCUCAUAAUCAUGAAAAUCCAGAGAGGUUGCGAAAGAGGUUGUCUUUUCUUCAGUGAAUGCUUAUGUAAUGGGCUAUAAAAUAAGCUAUUAGGUUGUAGGAACUCUGUUUCGGAUGGUCAAUGCCUUCAUUGGUGAUAAAAGUGCAAGCACAGGAACAUAGUUCUAUAUAGUACCAUGUGAUCCAAUUAUAACUUCUGUACAAACUAUAUUGUUAACUAUGAUAUCAUGAGGAUUUAUUGAU